rnacentral:rRNA from 1 species
UACAGAGGUCUCAAGCGUUGUUCGGAUUCAUUGGGCGUAAAGGGUGCGUAGGCGGCGCGGUAAGUCGGAUGUGAAAUCUCGGAGCUUAACUCCGAAACUGCAUUCGAUACUGCCGUGCUUGAGGACUGGAGAGGAGACUGGAAUUUACGGUGUAGCGGUGAAAUGCGUAGAUAUCGUAAGGAAGACCAGUGGCGAAGGCGGGUCUCUGGACAGUUCCUGACGCUGAGGCACGAAGGCCGGGGGAGCAAACGGG